UACGGGGGGGGCAAGCGUUGUUCGGAAUUACUGGGCGUAAAGGGCUCGUAGGCGGCCAACUAAGUCGGACGUGAAAUCCCCAGGCUCAACCUGGGAACUGCGUCCGAUACUGGAUGGCUUGAAUCCGGGAGAGGGAUGCAGAAUUCCAGGUGUAGCGGUGAAAUGCGUAGAUAUCUGGAGGAACACCGGUGGCGAAGGCGGCAUCCUGGACCAUUACUGACACUGAAAAGCGAAAGCCAGGGGAGCAAACGGG
rnacentral:rRNA from 1 species